CCGGCGCCAUAGGAGGGGCCCGCGGACCAUUAGCUUGCUGGUAGGGUAACGGCCUACCAAGGCCAAGAUGGUUAGCUGGUCUGAGAGGAUGAUCAGCCACACUGGGACUGAGACACGGCCCAGACUCCUACGGGAGGCAGCAGUGGGGAAUCUUGGAUAAUGGGCGAAAGCCUGAUCCAGCAAUGCCGCGUGAGGGAUGAAGGCCUCUGGGCUGUAAACCUCUUUUCUCAAGGAAGAAGAACUGACGGUACUUGAGGAAUAAGCCACGGCUAAUUCCGUGCCAGCAGCCGCGGUAAUACGGGAGUGGCAAGCGUUAUCCGGAAUUAUUGGGCGUAAAGCGUCCGCAGGCGGCCUUGAAAGUCUGUCGUUAAAGCGUGGAGCUUAACUCCAUUUCGGCGGUGGAAACUACAAGGCUUGAGUGUGGUAGGGGCAGAGGGAAUUCCCGGUGUAGCGGUGAAAUGCGUAGAUAUCGGGAAGAACACCAGUGGCGAAGGCGCUCUGCUGGGCCAUAACUGACGCUCAUGGACGAAAGCUAGGGGAGCGAAAGAGAUUAGAUACCCCUGUAGUCCUAGCCGUAAAACGAUGAACACUAGGUGUCGGGGGAAUCGACCCCCUCGGUGCCGUAGCUAACGCGUUAAGUGUUCCGCCUGGGGAGUACGCACGCAAGUGUGAAACUCAAAGGAAUUGACGGGGGCCCGCACAAGCGGUGGAGUAUGUGGUUUAAUUCGAUGCAACGCGAAGAACCUUACCAGGGUUUGACAUCCUGCGAAUCCCUUGGAAACUUGGGAGUGCCUUCGGGAGCGCAGAGACAGGUGGUGCAUGGCUGUCGUCAGCUCGUGUCGUGAGAUGUUGGGUUAAGUCCCGCAACGAGCGCAACCCACGUCUUUAGUUGCCAGCAUUUAGUUGGGCACUCUAGAGAGACCGCCGGUGAUAAACCGGAGGAAGGUGUGGAUGACGUCAAGUCAUCAUGCCCCUUACAUCCUGGGCUACACACGUACUACAAUGCUACGGACAAAGGGUUGCAAACUCGCGAGAGCUAGCUAAUCCCAUAAACCGUGGCUCAGUUCAGAUCGUAGGCUGCAACUCGCCUACGUGAAGGAGGAAUCGCUAGUAAUCGCAGGUCAGCAUACUGCGGUGAAUACGUUCCCGGGCCUUGUACUCAAGGCCCGUCA
rnacentral:rRNA from 1 species